rnacentral:rRNA from 1 species
CGUCUAUAUACGUAUAGCAUAUCAAUAAGCGGAGGAAAAGAAACUAACUAGGAUUCCCUUAGUAACGGCGAGUGAAGCGGGAAGAGCUCAAAUUUGAAAUCUUCAAGGUUUUACCUUGACGAAUUGUAGUUUAAAGAAGUGUUUUCUGUUAGAGUUUGAGUAGAAAAGUUCUUUGGAAUAGGGACAUCAUAGAGGGUGAGAAUCCCGUAUUUGGUACCAUUAUUUCUAGCUGUGUGAUACACUUUCAAAGAGUCGGAUUGUUUGGGAAUGCAGUCCAAAAUGGGUGGUAAAUUUCAUCUAAAGCUAAAUAUUGGCGAGAGACCGAUAGCGAACAAGUACCGUGAGGGAAAGAUGAAAAGAACUUUGAAAAGAGAGUUAAACAGUACGUGAAAUUGUCAAAAGGGAAGCGUUUGACACCAGUGUUGUUUUUCCGAAAAUCAAUUAAGAGUGGCUUGAUUUUGUGUUGUAUUGACCUUAUCAGCUUUCUUCACUCUUUUUCGAGUCUUUCUUAAUGCACUUUUCGGUUAACAAGUCAACAUCAAUUUCUUUUGUUGUAAAAGGGUAUUUGGAAGGUGGCUUUCUUUUCGGAGAAAGUGUUUAUAGCCUUAUACCUCUACAAUCGGAGAGAUUGAGGUCUGCAGCGUAGAUCCUUCGGGGCUAGAUACACUUGUGCUAAGUUAUAGCUUUUCAUAGACAACUUGUUGACUAUGUUUAGUCAUGUAGCUUACCCGCUUGUGCUAUUUUACCUACGCUUAGGAUGUUGAGUCAUCACACAUCUCU